rnacentral:rRNA from 1 species
CCAGCAGCCGCGGUAAUUCCAGCUCCAAUAGCGUAUAUUAAAGUUGUUGCAGUUAAAAAGCUCGUAGUUGGAUUUCAAGAACAGCAUUGGUGCAAACCAUAUGCUUUCUACCAGUCUUUGACUGUUACUGUGAGAAAAUUAGAGUGUUUAAAGCAGGCAAUUGCAGGAAUACAUUAGCAUGGAAUAACGAAUGUACUUACAAUUUGGUUGAUUGUAGGUUUCGGUUAAUAGGGACAGUUGGGGGCAUUAGUAUUUAAUUGUCAGAGGUGAAAUUCUUGGAUUAGUUAAAGACUAACGUAUGCGAAAGCAUUUGCCAAGGAUGUUUUCAUUAAUCAAGAACGAAA